rnacentral:rRNA from 1 species
AUACGGAGGAUGCAAGCGUUAUCCGGAUUUAUUGGGUUUAAAGGGUGCGUAGGCGGUUUGCUAAGCGGGAGGUGAAAUGCCGGCGCUCAACGUCGGAAGUGCCUCCCGAACUGGUGGACUGGAAUGACUCUGCCGUGGGAGGAAUGUGUAGUGUAGCGGUGAAAUGCUUAGAGAUUACACAGAACACCGAUUGCGAAGGCAUCUCACGAAGGGUUGAUUGACGCUGAGGCACGAAAGCGUGGGGAUCAAACAGGAUUAGAUACCCUGGUAGUCCACGCAGUAAACGAUGAUGGCUAACCGCUGGUUUAUUCGGAUCAGUGGCCGAGCGAAAGCGAUAAGCCAUCCACCUGGGGAGUACGACCGCAAGGUUGAAACUCAAAGGAAUUGACGGGG